rnacentral:rRNA from 1 species
CGGGUGAGUAACACGUGAGUGACCUGCCUUUUAGACUGGAACAACUUACCGAAAGGUGAGCUAAUGCCGGAUGAGUUAUAUAAGUGCAUGUUUAUAUAGGAAAAGUUGGGGAGACCUGACGCUGAAAGAUGGACUCGCGUCCCAUUAGCUAGUUGGUAGGGUAAUGGCCUACCAAGGCGACGAUGGGUAGCCGGCCUGAGAGGGUGGCCGGCCACACUAAGACUGAGACACGGCCCAGACUCCUACGGAAGGCAGCAG